GGCUUAAUCUACAAAUCAACCAAGACCAAAUUGUCCGAUUUAAUAUAAUUAGAAGAAAUGUGUGGGAUGGGGCCACAAGAGCGAUGACUAGAGCCAACUUUUCUUCAGACAAGGCAGCGGAUGUCAAAUUCACUGAUGACCAUCUGUGAAGUCAAACUGGUACUUCCUGGCUGGCCAGCUAAUGGCCAUGUCAGUUCUCCAUGGAGGCCAAGGCCAAUGCUUUUUUUCUCCAAUACUGUUUGAGUGCCUUGUGAGAGGUCCAGGUCAUGUCAAGGUCACAGUAUCAGAUGUGGCUGAUCCAGAGACCAGUCUGCAGUUGAAAUUGGAUGUAAUCGGAAGAUCACAUUGACAAACAAAGAAGACGUGUCUACAUAAUUGGCAGAAUGGUAUAUUCUACAGAAGACC